UUGCUUUGACAGCACACAUACUAAAGUUGGAAUUUACCUAGAUAAGAUUACCGUGGCCCCUGAAUAAGAACAACAUGAAAAUUGGCAAGUAUUCAGUAAUAUUA
ensembl:snRNA U6 U6 spliceosomal RNA